rnacentral:rRNA from 1 species
GAUGAACGCUGGCGGCGUGCUUAACACAUGCAAGUCGAACGGAAAGGCCUCUUUCGGGGCGUACUCGAGUGGCGAACGGGUGAGUAACACGUGAGUAACCUGCCCUUGACUUUGGGAUAACUUCAGGAAACUAGGGCUAAUACCAGAUAGGAGCUCCUGCUGCAUGGUGGGGGUUGGAAAGUUUCGGCGGUUGGGGAUGGACUCGCGGCGUAUCAGCUUGUUGGUGGGAUAGUGGCUUACCAACGCUGUCACGGGUAGCCGGCCUGUGGGGGUGACAGGCGACACUGACACCGAGGGGAGGCCGAGGUUGCGAAGGGUGGAAGAAGUGGGGAAGAUUGAAGAAGGGGUGGAGCGCUGAUGAAGAAGGGCCGUGGGCGGGAUAACGCCCUUCGGGUUGAAGAACGCAUUCGCUCAUAACGAAGCUUUGUGUGACGGUAGUGGGUAAAGAAGCACCGGCUAACUACGUG